UUGAACAUCACAGAUACCAAAACUGGAACAAUCCAGAAGAUACACAACAUGGCCCCGGCACAAGGGUGACAGGCAAUAUCAUGAAGGAUUCCAUGUUUUC
ensembl:snRNA U6 U6 spliceosomal RNA